CUCUACUCACUGAUCUGCGGGGGAGCAGCUACACAGCAGCUCAGGUUAUUGAACGAUGGGUGGGGUUACUGGGAGAUGUGGGGACACUGAGACACAUGUCUGUGACCUCAUUUCUCCCAGUGUCCUGACACUGGGAGAAAUGGGGACACAGACACUGGGCGACAGGGGGUACUGACACUGUGAUACAUAGGGACACUGAGGCUAGGCUGGUCUUCCAAUUCUUUGGACAGACAUAUGCCCCCUUUUUGGUCAUAUUCGCCCAUUUUGGCAGUUCUGGUCACGUGAUUCGUGUCAGUGGCUCACCCUUUUACCCUGCCAAUUGACUUCCUGCUUCACUGGACACUGCUGUUAGGGGGUAUGGAUUUACUUGAAAGAUGAAAGCAUACAUUAGAGAGAGAUUAGCAUAGAGAGUGUUUUCUUAUAGCUGCAUCCUUUGAGUUUCCCUCCAACUCCAUCAGAUACAAUGACAUUUGAGAGGUAUGACUGUUUUAGUGUUUUUGGUCGAUAAAUUCUGUAAUUAGGCCCCAUCAUAAUUGUCAGCACCAGGCCCACUGGGCUCUUAAUCUGGCCCUGUAUGCCAGUAUAUUGAGACUGCCACCCAACAUCUAAUCAAAUACAAGAUUACAACUAAAUAUACAAAUGCAUUAUUCUGGGUUAUUCACUUAAGUGUGGAAUUUAAAGGACAUGCAUCAGAUGUUACAAGGUGAAAAGAUCUUCCACCUGCACAUGUGUAAAUCUGUCAAGUUUACCCAAUGCGCUUUUCCAGCAUUCCUAUGGAUUGGACACUGAUUAGAUCUGAGUCGGUGUGAAAAGUGUAAGAAAGAAGCCGGUAAACAUGCAAAAAAGUACCUUCUCUCCCCCCACAUCCUGCAGAGUGAGAACACAGUCUAAUUCAAAGCUAGAGCUAUUGAAUUACAGUUGUCG